rnacentral:rRNA from 1 species
UACAGAGGUCUCAAGCGUUGUUCGGAUUCAUUGGGCGUAAAGGGUGCGUAGGCGGCGCGGUAAGUCGGGUGCGAAAUCUCGGAGCUUAACUCCGAAACUGCAUUCGAUACUGCCGUGCUUGAGGACUGGAGAGGAGACUGGAAUUUACGGUGUAGCGGUGGAAUGCGCAGAUAUCAGGAAGAACACCCGUGGCGAAGGCGGCUCUCUGGGACGGUACUGACGCUGAGACGCGAAAGCGUGGGGAGCGAACAGG